rnacentral:rRNA from 1 species
AUUGAACGCUGGCGGCAUGCCUUACACAUGCAAGUCGAACGGCAGCGGACCUUCGGGUGCCGGCGAGUGGCGAACGGGUGAGUAAUUUAUCGGAACGUACCUUUCAGUGGGGGAUAACGUAGCGAAAGUUACGCUAAUACCGCAUAUCCUGUGAGCAGGAAAGCAGGGGAUCGCAAGACCUUGCGCUGAUUGAGCGGCCGAUAUCAGAUUAGCUAGUUGGUGAGGUAAAGGCUCACCAAGGCGACGAUCUGUAGCGGGUCUGAGAGGAUGAUCCGCCACACUGGAACUGAGACACGGUCCAGACUCCUACGGGAGGCAGCAGUGGGGAAUUUUGGACAAUGGGCACAAGCCUGAUCCAGCCAUGCCGCGUGAGUGAAGAAGGCCUCGG